rnacentral:lncRNA from 1 species
CGCUGUUGAGGAGUGAAACCAUCAUUCUUAAGGUGCUUGGAUUUUCCAGCAGCUCUUGCCUGAGCCCUUUCACGGUCUCGGUCCCUCUGGUUACCGCGUUCGCUUUAGUUAAGUCCAAACAACUGUAUUCAGUGAACAAAAAACUACUAACUUCCAUGACAAUUCAUUAAAAAGAAACGAAAACACAAAAAAACAAGACGACGGUCCAUAUGAAAGGAUAUGAGUCAUGCUUUGAGAGAUUGUUGAAAAACGAAAGGUGAAGGUAGAAACGAGGAAGACGAAACGCCCUGAAGAAGAAGAAAAGCAAAGUGAAUUGUGAGAGAAGAAAGUGAUGAAUGAAGUGAGAAGAUUAAUAUGAAGCAGAAUGAGUAAAAUAAAAGUGGUGUUGUUAUAUGCAAUGGA